GUGGCUAAAACGUCCCUGCAUACAUUGUAUUUAUUUAUUUAUUCUCAGUCUCUCGACUUUCCUUGCUCUCCCCUCUUUCUUUUUGGUUGUUUUCUCUCCUGUUUUCAACCAUAAGUAUUGGAAGUUAUCAGAAGCAUGCUCAAAAAAUGGCGUUUGGCAUUAAACCUCCAAACUCAUUUUCCCCGGUUACAUAAUUCACAACAGAAGUGAUUCUUCCAGAAUCUGCAAGUAGCAGCACAAAGUUUGUAUUGGUCUCUGCUUUGCAGGAUCGAGCUCCCUGCUGUUGCGGUCAUGUUUUCCUCUUUGGUUUCCUGAAAUGGCGAGAUCUCAACAUUCCCCACGAAAGAUCUUCUCCGCUCUGAUAUCGAUCCAUCCACACCUCUUGACUCACAUGCCCCCUCUAGUUGAAGUUCCUAACUUUUGACAACAAGAACAUUCAAACAUAUUGUGCACUUUGUACAUCAGAUGAUCUUUUUCUUUCACGUUGUCUAAGGCUGACCUUGAUGGAC